GGGUUGAUGCUCGAGCGGUUAAUGGGGACGGACUGUAAAUUCGUUGGCAAUAUGUCUACGCUGGUUCAAAUCCAGCUCGGUCCA
rfam:Glycine max cultivar Williams 82 chromosome 9, whole genome shotgun sequence.